rnacentral:rRNA from 1 species
UACGUAGGGCGCAAGCGUUGUCCGGAAUUAUUGGGCGUAAAGAGCUCGUAGGCGGCUUGUCACGUCGAUUGUGAAAGCCCGAGGCUUAACCUCGGGUCUGCAGUCGAUACGGGCUAGCUAGAGUGUGGUAGGGGAGAUCGGAAUUCCUGGUGUAGCGGUGAAAUGCGCAGAUAUCAGGAGGAACACCGGUGGCGAAGGCGGAUCUCUGGGCCAUUACUGACGCUGAGGCGCGAAAGCGUGGGGAGCAAACAGG